UACAGAGGCCUCUAGCGUUAGGCGGAAUCACUGGGCUUAAAGCGUGUGUAGGCGGGUCGGUAAGUGCCUUGUGAAAUCCCCUGGCUCAACCAGGGAACUGCUUGGCAUACUGGCGAUCUUGAGCCACCUAGGGGCAACUGGAACAGACGGUGGAGCGGUGAAAUGCGUAGAUAUCGUCUGGAACGCCAAUGGUGAAGACAGGUUGCUGGGGGUGCGCUGACGCUGAGACACGAAAGCCAGGGGAGCAAACGGG
rnacentral:rRNA from 1 species